UCCCAGGUGGCUCAGUGGUAAAGAAUCUGCCUGCAGCGCAGACGACGUAGGAGACUCAGGUUCAAUCCCUGGGUUGGGAA
rnacentral:tRNA from 1 species